GGGAAGGAAAAGCCUUUCAAGAGAACCUGAGGUAUUUUGCGUCAAGCAGCCAAAGGUAUCGGGAUUUACUUUAAAAACUCGUCUAAACUCAUCAGUGUUCUUAGAUGCGUUGCUAUUUACAAUAAUAAUAAUAGUAAUAAUAAUAAUAUAAUCAUAAUAAUAACCACAGUUUUAGCAGGUGGGACAGUCUGCGUCUGCAUUGACAUGUAUAAAAAAUAGGACAGGUUGCUUGAGCCUCAUGCCUUUUAUUGGGACAAAAAGUCAACACUGGAAUCAGAUUUUAUCAUAGCUGCAAUAGCAGGAGGUCAAAGGUCAGACAGAAAAGCUAAUCAGGGCUAAAAGCAAGAAAAUACACAUGAAACAUUAUAAAUAAAUAAUCUCGCACCAGGAGAGUCUUCCAUUUGGGCUUCAUUUCAAUCGUUUUUAUCAAAGCUUUGGGAAAUCAAAACGAAUACAAAUAGAAAGAGGAGAGUGAAAGAGCUUUAUGGACAUGCAUUGUGCUGAUGUACCGGCAGCAGCAGCACGGCUGUACCCUGCACUGGGCUUGGCUCACUGAAAGAUCCCCUGAGAAUGAAAAGGGUGUGUGUGGGGCCUAGUACAUGUACAAGUGCUUACAGUUGUAUAGAUUUGAGUGUGAGCCUGUCAGAAGCUUUGGUGGGAAGCUUUUGAAACUAUGGCAAACAGGUGCUGGCUCUGUGAGGACAGUCUGCACCGCUGGUUGCAUAUACCUGGUGUUAUGCAAGCUUUAAUAAAUGGCAACUUGUGAUUUCAAAAUUGAGAAUAUGGAAAUGAGCUCAGAGCGCACGCGGCGGCUCUGACUGACGUUGCAUACAAACAGAACAGUCUCUUCAUUUAACACUUGAGCUGAGCUGGGACAGUUUUUCACGAGCUCGUACAAAAUGGUGCUAUUGGAGCCAUUCUACCACCAAAACACUGACUCCAGCUUCCACACUUGGCUUUUGUCAAUAGUAACUGGACUUUGUCAUAGAAAGCAGAAAAGUGCAUUUCAAAGCCGUAAUUCACUCUCCCAAAGAAGGAACAGCACAUAUUGCUCAUUGGAUGUGUGUACUUGUAUCAUUGUGUUCAUAAAUACCAUACAGCAAAUAAUAAU
ensembl:lncRNA